CAGCAGCCGCGGGAAUACGAAGGGGGCUAGCGUUGCUCGGAAUUACUGGGCGUAAAGGGCGCGUAGGCGGACAGUUCAGUCGGGGGUGAAAGCCCGGGGCUCAACCUCGGAAUUGCCUUCGAUACUGGCUGUCUUGAGUAUGAGAGAGGUGUGUGGAACUCCGAGUGUAGAGGUGAAAUUCGUAGAUAUUCGGAAGAACACCAGUGGCGAAGGCGACACACUGGCUCAUUACUGACGCUGAGGCGCGAAAGCGUGGGGAGCAAACAGGAUUAGAUACCCCCGUAGUCCCUGUCUCUUAUAC
rnacentral:rRNA from 1 species